rnacentral:rRNA from 1 species
UACGUAGGCAGCAAGCGUUGUUCGGAAUUACUGGGCGUAAAGAGUGUGUAGGCGGUGCUCUAAGUUCGGUGUGAAAUCUCCCGGCUCAACUGGGAGGGUGCGGUGGCGACUGCCGGACUGGAGGCACUCAGAGGCCGGUGGAAUUCCCGGUGUAGUGGUGAAAUGCGUAGAGAUCGGGAGGAACACCAGUGGCGAAGGCGGCCGGCUGGGGGUGACCUGACGCUGAGGCGCGAAAGCGUGGGGAGCGAACCGG